rnacentral:rRNA from 1 species
UUGGUCUCCUAUCUACUGUAGGCGUUGAUUCUUGAGAAGAUUUGCCCCUAGUACGAGAGGACCGGGGUGAACUGACCUCUGGUGUGUCUGCUGUCCUGCCAAGGGCACCGCAGAGUAGCUAAGUCGGGAACGGAUAAACUCUGAAAGCAUCUAAGAGUGAAGCCAACUUCAAGAUUAGGAAUCGCGCGGGACUCCAUUCAGACGAGUAAUAGAAAAAUUUUGAUAUUUUGAUCGAAUGCGAAGACUUGGAACAAGAAAAAAUUUAAAGCGUAUUAGAAAUACGAUGAAAGUUUUUUCGAGAGAAAGUCUAGCAGGCGACGAAAGAGCGGGAUUUUGCAUUAGUCGGAUGAAUGGAGUCCCGCACAGGCCCGUGAGAGAUGAUCACGUGAUAGGCACUAGGUGUAAGCACAGUAAUGUGUUCAGCCGAGGUGUACUAAUUAGCCG